UGGGGAAUAUUGCGCAAUGGGGAAACCCUGACGCAGCGACGCCGCGUGAAGGAUGAAGGUUUUCGGAUCGUAAACUUAUGUCUUCAGGGACGAGAAUGGACGGUACCUGAGGAGGAAGCCACGGCUAACUACGUGCCAGCAGCCGCGGUAAUACGUAGGUGGCAAGCGUUGUCCGGAUUUACUGGGUGUAAAGGGCGUGUAGGCGGGUUAGUAAGUUGGAUGUGAAAUACCGUGGCUCAACCACGGGGCUGCAUCCAAAACUAUUAAUCUUGAGUGUCGGAGAGGAAAGCGGAAUUCCUAGUGUAGCGGUGAAAUGCGUAGAUAUUAGGAGGAACACCGGUGGCGAAGGCGGCUUUCUGGACGAUAACUGACGCUGAGGCGCGAAAGCCAGGGGAGCGAACGGG
rnacentral:rRNA from 2 species